AUACGGAUGCAUCCUCCCUGUUACGGAAGAGGACGGGGGACCCCUGCACCAGCUGAAACAGGCCAUGGCCUCCAUCCUGGGCACCUGGAUGUUCCAGUACCCAGACGGUUUCCACCAGCCUCCAGAAUUCCCAUGCCUUAAGACCAUUGUUGCUGAUGUAGAGCUCAGCAUGCCUGGCUCAGACCUGGAGCGGCAGGCCCACCUCUUCCUGGCACAGCUGGAGCAACUGGAACUCCCAGAGGCAGACAGUGAUGCUACAGCACCAGCUCCAGAACCCACUGGGGAAACCCCUCUGGGUGGAGAGCCAGCUCCAGCUCUCCUGCCUGCGACAGCACCAGAGCCAGAGCCAGAGCCAGAGCCAGAGCAGAGGG